rnacentral:rRNA from 1 species
UACGUAGGGUGCAAGCGUUACUCGGAAUUACUGGGCGUAAAGCGUGCGCAGGCGGUUGUGCAAGACAGAUGUGAAAUCCCCGGGCUCAACCUGGGAAUUGCAUUUGUGACUGCAUCGCUGGAGUACGGCAGAGGGGGAUGGAAUUCCGCGUGUAGCAGUGAAAUGCGUAGAUAUGCGGAGGAACACCGAUGGCGAAGGCAAUCCCCUGGGCCUGUACUGACGCUCAUGCACGAAAGCGUGGGGAGCAAACAGG